GUGCCAGCAGCCGCGGUGAUACGGAGGGUGCAAGCGUUAAUCGGAAUUACUGGGCGUAAAGCGCACGCAGGCGGUCUGUCAAGUCGGAUGUGAAAUCCCCGGGCUCAACCUGGGAACUGCAUUCGAAACUGGCAGGCUAGAGUCUUGUAGAGGGGGGUAGAAUUCCAGGUGUAGCGGUGAAAUGCGUAGAGAUCUAGAGGAAUACCGGUGGCGAAGGCGGCCCCCUGGACAAAGACUGACGCUCAGGUGCGAAAGCGUGGGGAGCAAACAGGAUUAGAUACCCUGGUAGUCCACGCCGUAAACGAUGUCGAUUUGGAGGUUGUGCCCUUGAGGCGUGGCUUCCGGAGCUAACGCGUUAAAUCGACCGCCUGGGGAGUACGGCCGCAAGGUUAAAACUCAAAAUGAAUUGACGGGGGCCCGCACAAGCGGUGGAGCAUGUGGUUUAAAUUCGAUGCAACGCGAAGAACCUUACCUGGUCUUGACAUCCACAGAACUUUCCAGAGAUGGAUUGGUGCCUUCGGGAACUGUGAGACAGGUGCUGCAUGGCUGUCGUCAGCUCGUGUUGUGAAAUGUUGGGUUAAGUCCCGCAACGAGCGCAACCCUUAUCCUUUGUUGCCAGCGGUUAGGCCGGGAACUCAAAGGAGACUGCCAGUGAUAAACUGGAGGAAGGUGGGGAUGACGUCAAGUCAUCAUGGCCCUUACGACCAGGGCUACACACGUGCUACAAUGGCAUAUACAAAGAGAAGCGACCUCGCGAGAGCAAGCGGACCUCAUAAAGUAUGUCGUAGUCCGGAUUGGAGUCUGCAACUCGACUCCAUGAAGUCGGAAUCGCUAGUAAUCGUAGAUCAGAAUGCUACGGUGAAUACGUUCCCGGGCCUUGUACACACCGCCCGUCACACCAUGGGAGUGGGUUGCAAAAGAAGUAGGUAGCUUAACCUUCGGGAGGGCGCUUACCACUUUGUGAUUCAUGACUGGGGUGAAGUCGUAACAAGGUAACC
rnacentral:rRNA from 1 species